GCACGUAGUUGGCCGGUGCUUAUUCACAGGGUACGGUCAAUCCCGACAAGUCGGGACAUUCAUCCCCUGUAAAAGAGGUUUACAUCCUAACGGAUUUCAUCCCUCACGCGGCGUCGCUGCUUCAGGCUUUCGCCCAUUGAGCAAUAUUCCUCACUGCUGCCUUCCGUAGAAGUCUGGACCGUGUCUCAGUUCCAGUGUGGCUGAUCGUCCUCUCAGACCAGCUACCCAUCGUCGACUUGGUGGGCCGUUACCCCGCCAACUAUCUAAUGGGACGCAAGCCCAUCUUAUGACGCCCUUUUGGGGCCUUUGAUUUCAAAGUAAUGCUGCUUCGAAACAUCAUCGGGUAUUAGCCCCGCUUUCGCGGGGUUAUUCCCGUUCACAAGGAAGGUUGCUUACGUGUUACUCACCCGUUCGCCGGUUUACUCAGGAUAUUGCUACCCUUUUCUCCCAGACUUGCAUGUGUUAGGCACGCCGCCAGCGUUCGUC
rnacentral:rRNA from 1 species